GACGAACCGUGCGAACGUUGUUCGGAAUCACUGGGCUUAAAGGGCGCGUAGGCGGGCCAUCAGGUCCGUGGUGAAAGCUUCCGGCUUAACCGGAAUAACGCCGCGGAUACCGGUGGUCUGGAGGCGGGCAGGGGCGCGUGGAACUCCCGGUGGAGCGGUGAAAAUGUGUUUUGAGAUCGGGGAGGAACGCCGGCGGCGAAAGCGGCGCGCUGGGCCCGUCCCUGACGCUGAGGCGCGAAAGCCAGG
rnacentral:rRNA from 1 species